rnacentral:ncRNA from 1 species
AAAGACAAAGGCAAACCCAGCUAAAGCUGGGGACGCAAAGCCACGGAUCUUACACGUAAGGGUGAUGAUGGCCGGGCUGCCUACU